AUGUAUUCGCCAGGGAAGGGGCGGGAUGAGAGCUUUUUUAACCUCCCCGCCAUAAACUUUAAUCGGAUUCCGGGCUGUUGCACGGCAUGGACGCUCGCCUCUUGCCUGCGUCUCCUUCCCCGUUGUUCCUACUACGGUCUGCUUGCGAGUGCCUCUUUCAAGCGAAUGAGUGAUUUCUUUCUCUUGCCAUGUGCAAUUGCUCCCCCUUCCCUUCCUACCCUCGCUGGCCUCUCUUACACACACUAUGCCUUUCACACGCGGUCUGCGGCCCCCAGUCCCCCCCUCCUUUCUUUCUUUUUUUGCAGUGUCUUCACAUGCAAUCUCUCUCUGAAUGUGCAAUGUCUUUCCUGCUCGGGAGUGCUGCGUCCUUCACAGUGGAUUGGUUCCUCUUUCGGAGCAGAGAUGGCAGUAGAAAACUCCCUACUUUUCCAUCUUAAGACCAAAGGCCUUACAAAGGACCCCAAUAAAGUCAAAGGAAGAAAAAACAUCCAAAUCAUCUCUGUUUCACAAUUUUCCAGCAUGCUUCUUAUGGUGAAAGGAACUGAUUUCAAAGGAAAGGAAGAAAGGAAGAAGAAAUGUCUCUUUCAAGCAUUGCUGGAAGGAGUGGCUUAACGUUCUAAAUAUAAUGGAAAUGUCUGAAUUUGCUGAGCCAAUGAUUUAACCUGAGUUAGGUUUGAGUGAAAUCUUCUUUGAGAUGUGAGCACUGAUUUCCCUUGAAUUUAAUGAGUGGAUCUUUUGAGAGUAAAUUUUAAACACUGACCAUGUGUUGGCUGUGUGAGGGUGCAGAGCAUUCUGCCUCCACACACUUCUGCAGAAAUGCUGGGGGAAAGCCAGCAUUAUGUCAAAGCCAUGAAGACUGAAACUUUAUUUUUAAAGCAUUUUUACUUUUUGCUUUCUCACCAUUAUUUCUAGUUUGGCUUGGGAUUUUUUGUUUCCCUUUUUUUCCCCCCCUCCUCUAAGGAAACAGAAAACAUGCCACAGUAGAAUAUGUUUCAGUCCCAUUAUCAGGAAUAUUUAUUGAUUUGUACUCCUCCCCUCAUCUGUUUUUACUGUCUAAGUAUCGUAAAGUUUUCCUACAAUGAGAGAAAGGAGAUAAAUAAUGUGAUAAGUAUCCAAAUGAUUUUAAAUAUAUUUUGGCAGUAUUUCAGUUAUAUAACUAGUUUCAGGUUGUUGUCAUUUUCAUAUGAAAAAAUGUUGAAAAGAAAUGAAAGUAACACUAAUUCUUUGGCUAUAGGUAUAAAUAUGUGGUGUUGAACCUGAUAAUCUUAUUCCUAUGAAAAAGACAGCCUUUAUUAUAAGGCUGAGGUUUUAGUUCAGGUAUAUUUAUUUGAGUGAGGACAUUGAUAACAAGGUUGUUGUGUUAGCUAAAAAUAAAUAUAAAACAACAAUAGAAGAUAUAAGUUAU
rnacentral:lncRNA from 1 species